rnacentral:rRNA from 1 species
UACAGAGGGGGCAAGCGUUGUUCGGAAUUACUGGGCGUAAAGGGCGCGUAGGCGGCCCGGUAAGUCGGACGUGAAAUCCCCGAGCUCAACUCGGGAACUGCGUCCGAUACUGGCGGGCUUGAAUCCGGGAGAGGGAUGCGGAAUUCCAGGUGUAGCGGUGAAAUGCGUAGAUAUCAGGAGGAACACCGGUGGCGAAGGCGGGUCUCUGGGCCGUAACUGACGCUGAGGAGCGAAAGCAUGGGGAGCGAACAGG